AGUCGGACGGUAACAGGGAUUGCUUGCAAUCCGCUGACGAGUGGCGCACGGGUGCGCAACGCGUAUAGAACCUACCCUUUACAGGGGGAUAGCCCAGAGAAAUUUGGAUUAAUACCCCGUAGUACCUAUUAGAGGCAUUUCUAAUAGGUUAUAGUUUUCGAACGGUAAAGGAUGGCUAUGCGUCUUAUUAGCUAGUAGGUAAGGUAACGGCUUACCUAGGCUACGAUAAGUAGGGGCCCUGAGAGGGGGAUCCCCCACACUGGUACUGAGACACGGACCAGACUCAUACGGGAGGCAGCAGUGAGGAAUAUUGGACAAUGGGCGGAAGCCUGAUCCAGCCAUGCCGCGUGCAGGAAGACGGCCCUAUGGGUUGUAAACUGCUUUUAUACGGGAAGAAUAAGGGAUACGUGUAUCCUGGUGACGGUACCGUAAGAAUAAGGACCGGCUAACUCCGUGCCAGCAGCCGCGGUAAUACGGAGGGUCCGAGCGUUAUCCGGAAUUAUUGGGUUUAAAGGGUCCGCAGGCGGGCAAUUAAGUCAGAGGUGAAAUGGUGCGGCUCAACCGUAGCACUGCCUUUGAUACUGGUUGUCUUGAGUCAUGGUGGAGUGGCCGGAAUAUGUAGUGUAGCGGUGAAAUGCAUAGAUAUUACAUAGAACACCGAUCGCGAAGGCAGGUCACUAACCAUGUACUGACGCUGAUGGACGAAAGCGUGGGGAGCGAACGGGAUUAGAUACCCCGGUAGUCCACGCCGUAAACGAUGGAUACUAGCUGUCCGCUGCCUUGAGCAGUGGGCGGCCAAGCGAAAGUGAUAAGUAUCCCACCUGGGGAGUACGUUCGCAAGAAUGAAACUCAAAGGAAUUGACGGGGGCCCGCACAAGCGGUGGAGCAUGUGGUUUAAUUCGAUGAUACGCGAGGAACCUUACCAGGGCUUAAAUGCAGAAUGACAGGUUUAGAGAUAGACUUUUCUUCGGACAUUUUGCAAGGUGCUGCAUGGUUGUCGUCAGCUCGUGCCGUGAGGUGUCAGGUUAAGUCCUAUAACGAGCGCAACCCCUGCCGUCAGUUGCCAGCAAGUAAUGUUGGGGACUCUGACGGGACUGCCGGUGCAAACCG
rnacentral:rRNA from 1 species